CCUGGAGAUAGCUGGUUCUCUCCGAAAUAGCUUUAGGGCUAGCCUCAAGUGAUGAUUAUUGGAGGUAGAGCACUGUUUGGACGAGGGGCCCCUCUCGGGUUACCGAAUUCAGACAAACUCCGAAUGCCAAUUAAUUUAACUUGGGAGUCAGAACAUGGGUGAUAAGGUCCGUGUUCGAAAGGGAAACAGCCCAGACCACCAGCUAAGGUCCCAAAAUAUAUGUUAAGUGGAAAAGGAUGUGGCGUUGCCCAGACAACUAGGAUGUUGGCUUAGAAGCAGCCAUCAUUUAAAGAGUGCGUAAUAGCUCACUAGUCGAGUGACACUGCGCCGAAAAUGUACCGGGGCUAAACAUAUUACCGAAGCUGUGGAUUGUCCUUUGGACAAUGGUAGGAGAGCGUUCUAAGGGCGUUGAAGCAUGAUCGUAAGGACAUGUGGAGCGCUUAGAAGUGAGAAUGCCGGUGUGAGUAGCGAAAGACGGGUGAGAAUCCCGUCCACCGAUUGACUAAGGUUUCCAGAGGAAGGCUCGUCCGCUCUGGGUUAGUCGGGUCCUAAGCUGAGGCCGACAGGCGUAGGCGAUGGAUAACAGGUUGAUAUUCCUGUACCACCUAUAAUCGUUUUA
rnacentral:rRNA from 1 species